rnacentral:hammerhead_ribozyme from 1 species
AUUAGCUGACGAGUCCCAAAUAGGACGAAACACGCGUCCUGGAU